UAGGUGACAGAGCAAGACCCUGUCUCGAAAAAACUGGGAAAAAAAAUUGUCAAGUGUUUAUGCCUAAUCUGCCCAACCCACUCAUAUCAGCUGAGCCUGUCACUUGCUGCAGAAUCUGUGAGUCUUCAUAGUCUGCGUGCUGACAUUUGUGUGUUUACAGAGCCCUCCUAAUAAAAGUCAUGUUCUAUAAUGAAGUUGUACAGGUAGCCAGGUGUCGGUCUCCAGCCUGAGAAUUCUGGCUCUUGUUCCUUGUGUGGUCCCAUAUUCCUGCCUGGCCUACGAUGGACAUCAGCAAGGGCCUCCCAGGCAUGCAGGGAGGCCUCCACAUAUGGAUCUCUGAGAACCGGAAGAUGGUGCCGGUACCUGAGGGGGCUUACGGGAACUUUUUUGAGGAACACUGCUAUGUCAUCCUCCACGUGAGUCGCUUGGGGAAGUCUGUCUGAGAGGGG
rnacentral:sRNA from 1 species